CAGAGAUGAAAAAGGUUUAUAUGGAUUUUUCUAACUCUGGGGAUACAGUGAAUAAGCUAAAGUCACAAAAAGUUGUCGUGUUCCUUUAACAUGAACCCAUUCCUUUCAGUUUUUCAUGCCAAAGCCCAUAAUUUUAAAUGUGAGGUAUGGAAAAGUUGCUAUGUGAUAGAAAAUAAAGUGAACAUCUAUGUAUAUUUUUUUUCUUUAACUAGGUGAAAUGGAGUGGGGCAAAUGCAGGAUGUUGCUGUAUUAACACUAGGAGAGGAGGUGGGACAGUGCAGUACCUUCCUCUCUAGGAUUGCAGUGACUACAAAACAAUUGUGAAAAGCAGGACGCGCAGACAAUCUGCCUCUCAUGGCCAUGCGCUGGAAUCAGCAAAAGUUUAACAAUUUAGCCAUCUUAAUUACUCGUCGAUAUCAGAAGACCAAAAAGCUCUGGAAAGCCAGUUAGAAAACCUAGAGUCCAUGAAAGCCCAAUUGGCAGUGACAGAAAGCUAAUUGGAAGGCUAGGUCAGUGAUAUAAAGGAAUGGGCAGAUUGUGAUGAAAUAAUAAUUUGUUAUAUUAUGAAUGCAUUUGACAAAUUUUAUGAAAAAGGACACAAUUUCCAAAAUGCUUCAAAUAUUAGUCUGUAUCCCCAUACAAGUUCAGAGAUUAUUUGAAGGUUGACUUUUAAUACAUAUGACUUAAGACUUUUUUCAUUAUUGCAUUCCAUACUCUGUACAUCUAAGUCAGUUUGGAGACUUCAGGAGGAGCAGAAGAUGCUUGUUGCAGAGAUGGACCAUCAUUGGAAAUCUCUAAGCUUGUGCUGAUGCCAUCAGAGAGCUGUCCUGCUUGUUUUCUAAUGAGACAAUGAAAAAUUCACCGUGUGGCCUAAGUGAAGAGGGUCUAAAAGGUCUGCUGAGCACCAUUCUCAGAGAGCAACAUAAAAUCAGAAAAAUUUGCAAGCAAGAGACUGUUACCUACAAGUUUUGUCUGGAGCAGAGAACAUCAACUUCUUGUAUAGUGCUUCAGCUGAUGAGUACGACAGUGACUUUGACAUUUCUGAUGAUGGUCUGUAAUCCACAAGACUGUCACCUUCCAUCAUUCUGGACAAAGACUUCUAACUGUCAAUAUAAAGCAUUUAAUAAAAUCUACUUUUCAUAACCUUAUGUAGCCUCUUUAUUCACAUAAUACACAUACUGUAUACAUGUACAAUAUGCUUCUACAACUACUCAGUGGU